rnacentral:rRNA from 1 species
CAACAGGGAUUGCCCUAGUAACGGCGAGUGAAGCGGCAACAGCUCAAAUUUGAAACCUGGCGCAAGCCCGGAUUGUAAUUUGUAGAGGAUGCUUCUGGCCAGCGGCCGUUCUAAGUUCCUUGGAACAGGACGUCAUAGAGGGUGAGAAUCCCGUAUGUGACCGGCGCGCAGCCUCCACGUAGCUCCUUCGACGAGUCGAGUUGUUUGGGAAUGCAGCUCUAAAUGGGUGGUAAAUUCCAUCUAAAGCUAAAUAUUGGCCAGAGACCGAUAGCGCACAAGUAGAGUGAUCGAAAGAUGAAAAGCACUUUGGAAAGAGAGUUAAAAAGCACGUGAAAUUGUUGAAAGGGAAGCGCUUCCAACCAGACUCCGCGGCGGUGUUCCGCCGGUCUUCUGACCGGUCUACUCGCCGCCGUGGGGCCAACAUCGUCUGGGGCCGCCGGAUAAGACCGUAGGAAUGUAGCUCAUUGAGUGUUAUAGCCUGCGGUGAUGCGGCGCGCCCCGGGCGAGGUCCGCGCUUCGGCAAGGAUGUUGGCGUAAUGGUUGGCAGCGGCCCGUCUUGAAACACGGACCAAGGAGUCUAACAUCUAUGCGAGUGUUCGGGUGUCAAACCCCUACGCGUAAUGAAAGUGAACGGAGGUGGGAAGCUUCGGCUGCACCAUCGACCGAUCCUGAUGUCCUCGGAUGGAUUUGAGUAAGAGCAUAGCUGUUGGGACCCGAAAGAUGGUGAACUAUGCCUGAAUAGGGUGAAGCCAGAGGAAACUCUGGUGGAGGCUCGCAGCGGUUCUGACGUGCAAAUCGAUCGUCAAAUUUGGGUAUA